rnacentral:rRNA from 1 species
UACGGGGGGUGCGCGCGUUGUCCGGACUCACUGGGCGUACAGGGCGCGUAGGUGGCUCUGUAAGUUUGCGGUGAAAUCCCGGGGCUCACCCCCGGGUCUGCCGUGGAUACUGCAAGGCUUGAGUACUGUAGAGGCAGGUAGAAUAUCGGGUGUAGCGGUGGAAUGCGUAGAGAUCCGAUAGAAGACCGGUGGCGAAGGCGGCCUGCUGGGCAGUAACUGACACUGAGGCGCGACAGCGUGGGGAGCAAACAGG